AAACUCAGCAAAUAAACCAGGGGAGACGUGGCCAAGCUUCUGGCAACAAGUUGGACAUAACACCUGUCCAAAAUGCUGACUAAGGAUGCCCAAAAACUGGCUGGCCAACUCAGCUUCGGCUGCCCAAUCGCAUGCAAAACCAUGCAACAUUCGGGGGCCGAACUUACCUUUGGAAGCCGAACACUUUCGGCGGCCGAACUUACCUUCGGCGGCCGAACUUGGCUCAACUGCCUUAGGUCAUUU
rnacentral:lncRNA from 1 species